rnacentral:misc_RNA from 1 species
GAUGAAGAACGUAGCGAAAUGCGAUACUUGGUGUGAAUUGCAGAAUCCCGUGAACCAUCGAGUCUUUGAACGCAAGUUGCGCCCGAAGCCACUAGGCCGAGGGCACGCCUGCCUGGGCGUCACACGCCGUUGCCCCCCCAUCUACUCCUUCGGGAUUGCGGGGGGGCGGAUGAUGGCCCCCCGUGCGCCUAGCCGCGCGGUUGGCAUAAAUACCAAGUCCUCGGCGACGCACGCCACGACAAUCGGUGGUUGCGAAACCUCGGUGGCCCGUCGUGUGCGUUCGUCGCGCAUCGAGGGCUCGAAAAAAUGCUCGGCUCCGGCUGGGCUUUCAACGCGACCCCAGGUCAGGCGGGGUUACCCGCUGAAUUUAAGCAUAUCAAUAAGCGGAGGA